UAAAACGGGCGUACUCAAGAAGACGUGGGAAAACGCCCGUCUCUUUUGUCAGUCAGAAGGGGGAGAUCUGGCAAGUUUUCACAGCUCGGAGGAAAUAGAUUGGUUCAUGGGUCGAUUAAAAAGUACUGACAGAUAUUCACUGAACACGAGGUCACUUUGGAUUGGAUUGCAUCUGGCAACAAAUACAACAGAUGGCGCCAACCAUACCUGGUCUGACGGCACAGCAAACACGUACGCCCCCUGGGGACUAGGCGAACCUGACAACCACAACGGCAGAGAAAUGUGUGUUAGCCUCUUCAAGACGAAGGGGACUUUCAGAGAUGAUAACUGUGCAGCUGCCAAAGGCUGGAUAUGUAAAACAUCGGUUACUGCAAC